GGUUAGUAGAGCCUCUCGGGCCAGGGACUCCCUGGUGUGCCUGUAUCCGAUGCCUUCCAUGGCACUUGACAUACAGGACCCCACGCCACAGCCUGUCCUUGGAAGUUUCUCCUUUCCCUUCUUUCUUGUGGGUGUCUCUCCCCUCCAGUGCAGCGUUAUUGCAGAUGGGGUGGAGGAACAUGUUCCAGGGAAGAUUUUUUUCAGCGUCGAAAGGAAAUCAGUACUCAGAAAUUUUGCAAGUCACGCAGGAAAGAUGCUCCUUUUGCUUUCACAGAAAUUUUAAAAAGAUACUAUUGUUGUUUCUGAGCUUCAAAUCGGACCUGUUGC
rnacentral:lncRNA from 1 species